AGGCAGCAGUGGGGAAUUUUCCGCAAUGGGCGAAAGCCUGACGGAGCAACGCCGCGUGAGGGAUGAAGGCCUCUGGGCUGUAAACCUCUUUUAUCAAGGAAGAAGAUCUGACGGUACUUGAUGAAUAAGCCACGGCUAAUUCCGUGCCAGCAGCCGCGGUAAUACGGGAGUGGCAAGCGUUAUCCGGAAUUAUUGGGCGUAAAGCGUCCGCAGGCGGCCCUUCAAGUCUGCUGUUAAAAAGUGGAGCUUAACUCCAUCAUGGCAGUGGAAACUGUUGGGCUUGAGUGUGGUAGGGGCAGAGGGAAUUCCCGGUGUAGCGGUGAAAUGCGUAGAUAUCGGGAAGAACACCAGUGGCGAAGGCGCUCUGCUGGGCCAUCACUGACGCUCAUGGACGAAAGCCAGGGGAGCGAAAGGGAUUAGAUACCCCUGUAGUCCUGGCCGUAAACGAUGAACACUAGGUGUCGGGGGAAUCGACCCCCUCGGUGUCGUAGCCAACGCGUUAAGUGUUCCGCCUGGGGAGUACGCACGCAAGUGUGAAACUCAAAGGAAUUGACGGAAGGGCGAAUUCGUU
rnacentral:rRNA from 1 species